CUCAAGCCAUUUGAGCUCAAGUUCUCCUCGCCCGACUUUUAAAAGUACAAAAAUCCAUUCAAGGACUGCCCAGGGGGCUACAGAUUUCCGGACAUCUCGCAAUAUGUGGACUCCUCGCCAGAGUUUACACCCCCACCUGUGACCUCGAGAACUGAUGACGAAAUACAUGUCGCGAUCCGCUUGCCAGACUCGCCAGCACAUAACACGAACGCGCCUGAACCAUGUCGCAGUGCUGAAAACUUCAGCCUUCCCUGUUCUGUGACCCUGAGGAGGCGACGAGCAACAAAGAGCAUGUCUCCUCUUGCCUUCUCCGAAUUCUCACCGAUAAAUGCG